rnacentral:rRNA from 1 species
CCUACGGGAGGCAGCAGUGGGGAAUAUUGGGCAAUGGGCGAAAGCCUGACCCAGCCACGCCGCGUGAGUGAUGAAGGCCUUCGGGUUGUAAAGCUCUGUGGGAAGGGGCGAAAAACUCAGACCUAAUACGUCUGAGGUUGACGGUACCUUCUUAGCAAGCACCGGCUAACUCUGUGCCAGCAGCCGCGGUAAGACAGAGGGUGCAAACGUUGCUCGGAUUUACUGGGCGUAAAGCGCGUGUAGGCGGGCGAAUAAGUCGGGUGUGAAAUCCCUGG